AACGCGUAGGUAACCUGCCUGGUAGCGGAGGAUAACUAUUGGAAACGAUAGCCAAUACCGCAUAAUAUCUUUAAUUGCAUGAUUGAAGUUUGAAAGAUGCAACUGCAUCACUACCAGAUGGACCUGCGUUGUAUUAGCUAGUAGGUGAGGUAAAGGCUCACCUAGGCGACGAUACAUAGCCGACCUGAGAGGGUGAACGGCCACACUGGGACUGAGACACGGCCCAGACUCCUACGGGAGGCAGCAGUAGAGAAUCUUCGGCAAUGGGGGCAACCCUGACCGAGCAACGCCGCGUGAGUGAAGAAGGUUUUCGGACCGUAAAGCUCUGUUGUAAGAGAAGAACGUGUGUGAGAGUGGAAAGUUCACACAGUGACGGUAACUUACCAGAAAGGGACGGCUAACUACGUGCCAGCAGCCGCGGUAAUACGUAGGUCCCGAGCGUUAUCCGGAUUUAUUGGACGUAAAGCGAGCGCAGGCGGUUGGAUAAGUCUGAAGUUAAAGGCUGUGGCUCAACCAUAGUAUGCUUUGGAAACUGUUCAACUUGAGUGCAGAAGGGGAGAGUGGAAUUCCAUGUGUAGCGGUGGAAUGCGUAGAUAUAUGGAGGAACACCGGUGGCGAAAGCGGCUCUCUGGUCUGUAACUGACGCUGAGGCUCGAAAGCGUGGGUAGCGAACAGGAUUAGAUACCCUGGUAGUCCACGCCGUAAACGAUGA
rnacentral:rRNA from 1 species